AAACAACACUCUUCGUCCCGUAC
rnacentral:siRNA from 1 species